AACGAACGCUGGCGGCAGGCUUAACACAUGCAAGUCGAACGCCCCGCAAGGGGAGUGGCAGACGGGUGAGUAACGCGUGGGAAUCUACCCAGUUCUACGGAAUAACCCAGGGAAACUUGGACUAAUACCGUAUACGCCCUACGGGGGAAAGAUUUAUCGGAAUUGGAUGAGCCCGCGUUGGAUUAGCUAGUUGGUGGGGUAAUGGCCUACCAAGGCGACGAUCCAUAGCUGGUCUGAGAGGAUGAUCAGCCACACUGGGACUGAGACACGGCCCAGACUCCUACGGGAGGCAGCAGUGGGGAAUAUUGGACAAUGGGCGAAAGCCUGAUCCAGCCAUGCCGCGUGAGUGAUGAAGGCCUUAGGGUUGUAAAGCUCCUUCAGUGGGGAAGAUAAUGACGGUACCCACAGAAGAAGCCCCGGCUAACUUCGUGCCAGCCGCCGCAGUAACAC
rnacentral:rRNA from 1 species